UGUAUAGGAUCCUGGAGAGCCCCUGUCCUAAGAGACCUUGACCUUUGGGCUCUCAAAGGUGACAAAUGCUGUCACACACCUCCUGGCCACCAAGGUAGCUCUCCUCUUGAAAGCUCAAAGGAGCCACAUUAAAGAGCCCCAGGUCACGGAAGCUAAACCAGAUCUGGAACUCACUGGUCCCCUCCCCGCAGCCUGCCUCUUGUCAAGUGAUCAGACUGUCAACUAGCUUCUCAGAAUUAGGUUUCAGGUCAGCUGGUGCACACGGCCAGUGCCGAGCCAGAGACAGCAGAGACAACAGUGAAUGGUGAGGACGGGCCGUCAGAUCCUGCUGCUACCUAAUGGAGUGGAGCCUUAGGGUGCCCCUGCACUACCCAACCUUGGCUAGACGCACAGCUGGGGGCAUCAGACCGAUAAUAACCGAGGUGCGCCAAGGAGGAGGUUGGGAAGCUCAGACCUCAGGGAGUUCCCUACUGCACCAGGCAUUGUAGCCUCACCCACAUACUCAACUUCCUCCCUGAACUGAAGCAAAAGAUUGCCAGGCAAGCUCUCUCCUCGGACCUCCAUAGGCAGCAAAGGAAC
rnacentral:lncRNA from 1 species